GAUAAUAGGACUGCGUUAAGUAGGUUACUCUGAUAUAGUAAAUUGUAGGUAAUUCUCUUUAUCA
rnacentral:tRNA from 1 species